UACGUAGGGUGCAAGCGUUAAUCGGAAUUACUGGGCGUAAAGCGUGCGCAGGCGGUUGUGCAAGACCGAUGUGAAAUCCCCGGGCUCAACCUGGGAACUGCAUUUGUGACUGUAUAGCUAGAGUACGGCAGAGGGGGAUGGAAUUCCGCGUGUAGCAGUGAAAUGCGUAGAUAUGCGGAGGAACACCGAUGGCGAAGGCAAUCCCCUGGGCCUGUACUGACGCUCAUGCACGAAAGCGUGGGGAGCAAACAGG
rnacentral:rRNA from 1 species